rnacentral:sRNA from 1 species
UCACAAAACCAAUCCUACGACUCUUCAGACUACAACAAAGAUAGAAA